rnacentral:sRNA from 1 species
CGUACUACAAUGCUACGGACAAAGGGUUGCAAACUCGCGAGAGCUAGCUAAUCCCAUAAACCGUGGCUCAGUUCAGAUCGUAGGCUGCAACUCGCCUACGUGAAGGAGGAAUCGCUAGUAAUCGCAGGUCAGCAUACUGCGGUGAAUACGUUCCCGGGCCUUGUACACACCGCCCGUCACACCAUGGAAGUUGGCCACGCCCGAAGUCGUUACUCCAACCCGCAAGGGAGGAGGAUGCCGAAGGUGGGGCUGAUGACUGGGGUGAAGUCGUAACAAGGUAGCCGUACCGGAAGGUGCGGCUGGAUCACCUCCUAACAGGGAGACAAUAACUGAUUUUGAUGUCUGACUAAUUUAAUGUUAGACCGAAAUCCUGUCAUCUCUAAGGUCGAUCGGUACCUCAGGGUAAGGCUUAAAAGGUUAGCUGUUAAAGGCAAGCUUGUUUAAGUCGUUACCAUCAGUUCCUAAACUUUGUCUAGGUCACACCCCACGGUGAGUGUGCAGUUGAAUCCAGUAAUGGGUCAAAAGCAUGCGAAUUAAAAGACAGACUCCUGGGCCAUUAGCUCAGGUGGUUAGAGCGCACCCCUGAUAAGGGUGAGGCCCCUGGUUCAAGUCCAGGAUGGCCCAUUCACCGCCUGCACAGCAGGCAGGACUUGAAGAUUGGGGGUUUAGCUCAGUUGGUAGAGCGCCUGCUUUGCAAGCAGGAUGUCAGCGGUUCGAGUCCGCUAACCUCCACUGACGAACCUCCCUGAAAUAGGAGGUGUCCAGGUAAGUUGUGAUCGAGACGUUAGUUUGCUAGAGAUUCUAGCUUCUUUUCAUUUUAGCAAUGGCAAUUUUAUUGGCAUUGAACUUGAAAGGACGCUGGACUCCUGAUCUGAGCGAAAGCUUAGGUUGGAUGUUUAGCAGAACCUUGACAACUGCAUAGAAAAGUCUGGAAAUAAAGCAUCUCAUGGAUGCCCAGAUAUUAAGAGAAGCCAAGCCGCGAAAGCGACUCGGCCAAUUUUGAUGUUUGGGGAAAUUCUAUGAUUGUAAGAGCCGAGAGCUUUCAGUUUUCUUCCAAACCUGCCGAAGGCACGGGAGUUUGAUUGGGCUAUUCAAACCAGCGAGAGUCCCCACGGACAGGAGCAAGGUGAAGGUCCGAGAAUAGGUUUCAACAACCUGAAGAACUGGGAGUUAUAAAUUGGUCAAGCUACAAAGGGCUCACGGUGGAUACCUUGGCACACAGAGGCGAUGAAGGACGUAGUUACCUGCGAUAAGUCUCGGGGAGCUGGAAACACGCUUUGAUCCGGGAAUUUCCGAAUGGGGCAACCC